rnacentral:rRNA from 1 species
GUAGGUGGCAAGCGUUGUCCGGAAUUAUUGGGCGUAAAGCGCGCGCAGGUGGUUCUUUAAGUCUGAUGUGAAAGCCCCCGGCUCAACCGGGGAGGGUCAUUGGAAACUGGGGAACUUGAGUGCAGGAGAGGAAAGUGGAAUUCCACGUGUAGCGGUGAAAUGCGUAGAUAUGUGGAGGAACACCAGUGGCGAAGGCGACUUUCUGGCCUGUAACUGACACUGAGGCGCGAAAGCGUGGGGAGCAAACAGGGAUUAGAUACCCUGGUAGUCCACGCCUUAAACGAUGAGUGCUAAGUGUUGGGGGGGUUUCCCGCCCCUCAGUGCUGCAGCUAACGCAUUAAGCACCCCGCCUGGGGAGUACGGUCGCAAGACUG